GUGAUAUUUCACUAGGGGAGGGGGAUAUUUGACUAGGGGAGGGGGGAUAUUUCACUAGGGGAGGGGUGAUAUUUGACUAGGGGAGGGGUGAUAUUUGACAUGGGGAGGGGGAUAUUUGACUAGUGCAGGUUGAUAUUUGACUAGGGGAGGGGGGAUAUUUGACUAGGGGAGGGGUGAUAUUUGACUAGGGGAGGGGGAUAUUUGACUAGGGGAGGGGUGAUAUUUGACUAGGGGAGGGGGGAUAUUUGACUAGGGGAGGGGUGAUAUUUCACUAGGGGGGAUAUUUGACUAGGGGAGGGGGGAUAUUUGACUAGGGGAGGGGGGAUAUUUGACUAGGGGAGGGGUGAUAUUUCACUAGGGGAGGGGGGAUAUUUCACUAGGGGAGGGGGGAUAUUUGACUAGGGGAGGGGGGAUAUUUGACUAGGGGAGGGGUGAUAUUUGACUAGUGCAGGUUGAUAUUUGACUAGGGGAGGGGGGAUAUUUGACUAGGGGAGGGGGGAUAUUUGACUAGGGGAGGGGGGAUAUUUGACUAGGGGAGGGGUGAUAUUUGACUAGGGGAGGGUGAUAUUUGACUAGGGGAGGGGUGAUAUUUGACUAGGGGUGGGGUGAUAUUUGACUAGGGGACGGGGUGAUAUUUGACUAGGGGAGGGGGGAUAUUUGACUAGGGGAGGGGGGAUAUUUGACUAGGGGAGGGGUGAUAUUUGACUAGGGGAGGGGUGAUAUUUGACUAGGGGAGGGGAGAUAUUUUACUAGGGGUGGGGUGAUAUUUGACUAGGGGACGGGGUGAUAUUUGACUAGGGGAGGGGGAUAUUUGACUAGGGGAGGGGUGAUAUUUGACUAGGGGAGGGGUGAUAUUUGACUAGGGGAGGGGUGAUAUUUGACUAGGGGAGGGGGGAUAUUUGACUAGUGCAGGUUGAUAUUUGACGAGGGGAGGGGUGAUAUUUGACUAGGGGAGGGGUGAUAUUUGACUAGGGGAGGGGGAUAUUUGACUAGGGGAGGGGUGAUAUUUGACUAGGGGAGGGGUGAUAUUUGACUAGGGGUGGGGUGAUAUUUGACUAGGGGAGGGGGUGAUAUUUGACUAGGGGAGGGGGGAUAUUUGACUAGGGGAGGGGUGAUAUUUCACUAGGGGAGGGGUGAUAUUUGACUAGG
rnacentral:lncRNA from 1 species